GAUGUAGUACCUUGUGUUGACAGAAAAUAAUGCAACCAUGGGAUAUUGUACCCUGUGUUAGCAAAAAAUAAUGCAACCGGGGGAUGUUGUACCCUGUGUUGACAACAACAUGAGGCUCGUGGCACUCUGAAAUGCUACUAGGGGUGGUUGUAUCCUAUGUAGAAAAUAGUGCAACUAGGGGAUAUAGUACCAUAUGUUGAUGGAAAAUAAUGCAAUCAGGGGAUGUUCUACCCUGUGUUAACAACAAAAUGAGGCUCGUGGCACUCUGAAAUGCUACUAGGGAAUGUUGUACCCUAUAUUGGCAGCAAAAUGAUGCAACUAGGGUAUGUAGUACCCUGUUUUCACAAAAAAUAAUGCAACCAGGGAAUAUUAUACCCUGUGUUGGCAAAAACGGAUGCAACAAGGGGAUGUUGUAUCCCGUGUUGACAACAAAAUGAGGAUCGUGUCACUCUGAAAUGCUACUAGGGGAGGUUGUACACUAUGUAAAAAA
rnacentral:lncRNA from 1 species